GCUUUCUGAAAGGCAAACAUAUGGCCUCUCACAUGUAUCAAGGACUGAGAAAUCUCGUGAUCCUGGCUCUAUUGCUGAGCUUUGUUCUGGGAUCGUUCAUCGUGAGCAAAAAGGUAUCUUCUGAAGCAGAAGAAUUAUUCCACUCAUGAAAAAAGGAAGUGAAAUAUAAACACACCAGUACAUGUUAUAUAAAACCAUGGGAAGAAAAGAGCACCUUAGGUAAAUAGCAAGCUACUUAUUUUAUGAUUUUUAAAUGUCACUCUUUUGUCCAAUAUUGACUUUUUUAUAUGGCGGUUGAAUUAUAGAUCUUCAAGCACCUGGGAGCCCAUGGCAGCCUUAUUUUGACACAGCUGGUCAAGUGGAGGAUUGAAGUCCCUGUAAUUAGUUGUGAGCCAAGCCAGAAUGCGAAAACUUGGUGUAGUGACUUCUCCAUCCAGGGGGUCAUUAGGAGCUCUCACAACACAAAUAAAUCAUGGAGAAACAAUACAUUAUGCUACCCGUGGAAGACAAGAGGCUGAAAUAGAGAUCUGCUGAUGGUGAUGGCCUGGCAUUCUUAACUCAGGACCAAGCUGGCUGCAUUAAUUUAAUUAACCUUUAACAAUGAAUGAAGGUUCAUUCCUGACAGGUCUGAAGAGGUGCCCAGACUUUAGCAUGUUGUUUUUAUUUUACUUUUAAAUAUAAUCUGCAGUAUUAAUUUGUUGUAGGCAUACAACACCAUGUACAAAUUCUUGUGAUGAAUCCAUUAUUCCUACCAUUUUUAACAAUCCAAUAAUGUUUGAUUCAAUGUGAAUUUUGGUCAGGUUUUAAAAUGGCAUCUUUUUGACACGGGAAAUAAUUU
ensembl:lncRNA